UACGUAGGGGGCUAGCGUUGUCCGGAUUUAUUGGGCGUAAAGCGCGUGUAGGCGGCCAGGUAGGUCCGCUGUGAAAACCCGAGGCUCAACCUCGGGACAUCGGCGGAAACCCUCUGGCUAGAGUCCGGAAGAGGAGAGUGGAAUUCCGCGUGUAGUGGUGAAAUGCGUAGAGAUGCGGAGGAACACCAGUGGCGAAAGCGGCUUUCUGGUCCUUAACUGACGCUGAGGCGCGAAAGCAUGGGGAGCGAACGGG
rnacentral:rRNA from 1 species